UACGGAGGGGGCUAGCGUUGUCCGGAAUCAUUGGGCGUAAAGAGCGCGUAGGCGGUCCGGUAAGUCCGCUCUGAAAGUCCGGGGCUCAACCCCGGGAGGCGGGCGGAUACUGUCGGGCUAGAGUCCGGAAGAGGCGAGUGGAAUUCCUGGUGUAGCGGUGAAAUGCGCAGAUAUCAGGAGGAACACCGAUGGCGAAGGCAGCUCGCUGGGACGGUACUGACGCUGAGGCGCGAAAGCGUGGGGAGCAAACAGG
rnacentral:rRNA from 1 species